CGCUGUGAAGAUGCAGUGUACCCGCGGCAAGACGGAAAGACCCCGUGAACCUUUACUAUAGCUUGACACUGAACAUUGAGCCUUGAUGUGUAGGAUAGGUGGGAGGCUUUGAAGUGUGGACGCCAGUCUGCAUGGAGCCGACCUUGAAAUACCACCCUUUAAUGUUUGAUGUUCUAACGUUGACCCGUAAUCCGGGUUGCGGACAGUGUCUGGUGGGUAGUUUGACUGGGGCGGUCUCCUCCUAAAGAGUAACGGAGGAGCACGAAGGUUGGCUAAUCCUGGUCGGACAUCAGGAGGUUAGUGCAAUGGCAUAAGCCAGCUUGACUGCGAGCGUGACGGCGCGAGCAGGUGCGAAAGCAGGUCAUAGUGAUCCGGUGGUUCUGAAUGGAAGGGCCAUCGCUCAACGGAUAAAAGGUACUCCGGGGAUAACAGGCUGAUACCGCCCAAGAGUUCAUAUCGACGGCGGUGUUUGGCACCUCGAUGUCGGCUCAUCACAUCCUGGGGCUGAAGUAGGUCCCAAGGGUAUGGCUGUUCGCCAUUUAAAGUGGUACGCGAGCUGGGUUUAGAACGUCGUGAGACAGUUCGGUCCCUAUCUGCCGUGGGCGCUGGAGAACUGAGGGGGGCUGCUCCUAGUACGAGAGGACCGGAGUGGACGCAUCACUGGUGUUCGGGUUGUCAUGCCAAUGGCACUGCCCGGUAGCUAAAUGCGGAAGAGAUAAGUGCUGAAAGCAUCUAAGCACGAAACUUGCC
rnacentral:rRNA from 1 species